CCACGACUGAGGAACCUCUGGUGGAGGAGGGAGGAAAGCCAGAUGGAUUUGACAUGGAGAUCCCUGUUCCACUGGACACUGCCGCGGGUGAUACACUCCUGGACCUUCCACACAAGGAGAAGAAGCAGAAGAAAGGAGUCAGGCUCUUCUUUGCCCGAGUGUGGAAGGCCCUGAAACGCAGCUGCUGCUGCUGCUGCGUUUCCACAGAGACCGACUGAAAUUUCAAAUGUUUAAAUGUCUGUGUGU